rnacentral:rRNA from 1 species
CCUACGGGAGGCAGCAGUGGGGAAUAUUGGUCAAUGGGCGCGAGCCUGAACCAGCCAAGUAGCGUGAAGGAUGACUGCCCUACGGGUUGUAAACUUCUUUUAUAAAGGAAUAAAGUGAGGCACGUGUGCCUUUUUGUAUGUACCUUAUGAAUAAGGAUCGGCUAACUCCGUGCCAGCAGCCGCGGUAAUACGGAGGAUCCGAGCGUUAUCCGGAUGUAUUGGGUUUAAAGGGAGCGUAGGUGGGUGUUUAAGUCAGUUGUGAAAGUUUGGGGCUCAACCUUAAAAUGGCAAUUGAUACUGUAAGACUUGAGUACAGUUGAGGUAGGCGGAAUUCGUGGUGUAGCGGUGAAAUGCUUAGAUAUCACGAAGAACACCGAUUGCGAAGGCAGCUUACUAAACUGCAACUGACAUUGAUGCUCGAAAGCGUGGGGAGCAAACAGGAUUAGAUACCCCUGUAGUC